CUCCUGUGCCUACUGAGCUGAUAACAGUUGAUGUAUUUAGCACUGGCUCAGUUCAGCAGGAACCGGAG
rnacentral:pre_miRNA from 8 species